CCGAGUGCGAACCCUCCCGUAAAAAAAGGGGGUUGCCUCCCGUCCUUUGCUGGGCAUCCCCUUUCCAGUUGGAUGGGGGUUGUUUUCAGACCCUUCUGCUUCGGCGGGGUAACCCGCCGGAACAACCUCAAAAUAUUCUCAAUUCAAAACCGUUCAGUCCGAGAACUUUUUUGAAAAGCGAAA
rnacentral:misc_RNA from 1 species